GACCCAGCACCAUGCUAGAUGCAUGCCAGACCUUCUGUGCACAUCCGAGUAAGUGACAGCCACCAGGCCGUUGCCAGCUUCCUGACGCUCCCACCGAGAGUCCACAACAGACUUCACGCAGUUGUUCGUUCACUGACUUGAUCAUGUGUUUUCGAGAGGCCCAGCAGGCCCCAGACAUCACGCAGCCAAUCUGAGUGCUUCGCUUCCCUCUGAAACUGAUCCUCCUCCAGCCUCUCUGAGCUCGGAGAACAGCACUGUGGCCCAGCAGAGCCCGCGGACCAGAAACACAAUUGACAGAUGAAGCGAGGUGCAGCGAUGUUAAAAACCUGACCCGACGGCAUACAGCUCAGAGGAAGGGGAAGAGUCAACCACUAGCAACUUGUCUCCAGAGAAUGCACUCCCCUCCUCCUAGUGCAACAGCUUCCACAGAGAAGGGGCGAACUGGAGCCCCAGACCUUGUUCCAAAGAAGGAGGACUAGAGUUUGGGCUAAGCCACGAACUUGCCCUGUGACUUCGGGUGCCCCUCAUCUCCUGCCAGGGCUGCCACUAUGAGGGAAAAAAAUCAGCUAACUGUGGACCACUUAGUGGCCCGGUAAGAGCCUGGGAAAGAAUCUGAACUGACUUUUGUAAUGAAGUAUUUCUUAAGC